GUUCCAUUGUGCACUUUUCUCUGCUGAGCAAAAUACUGGAGGCAGGAAUUUAGCAUAAUGGGUACUAGAAUGUAGGAUGCAUAACCCCUGCUUCACACCUGUGGACCCUGGCAUGCUGCCCCCUUCUCCAGGCUCUUAUGUCUUGAGCUACAUAUUGAAGAGCAUACCAAUGAUCGGGUGUGGUAGAGAAAAGCAAUACUACGAGUUCAGCAUGUGGUCUGUGGCUGGUUCUUGAAGCAGGAGAGUCUCUAUUGUAAGGACGACACAAGAAAAACAGGAAUCAGAGAGGACAAGAGGCGGGCCCCUAAAACCACCUGCAUGGUGCUAUUGGGACCAACUGAGGAGACCUUUGAGAUCACGUGAGGAAGUCUUGGCGUCCCCGUGCCUUCCUUUCUUCCCCGACGUGAGAACUUUUCUCGACGUCACAUAGACGAGAAAAGAGCAGUGCCUGCACCUCAGGAAAACACGCAGGAGUUUUGUUUCUAAACUCCCCUACCUGCAGGUGGGCGAGUCACAGUUUUGUUACUGCUGGGUUGAAUCCCGUCCCUGGUGCCGACACAGAAGCCACUCUGCAGGCCCCGGGCGCGCCACGGUGCAGUGGAUUGAUGGGGACAAAGAGGCCAGGCCUGCCUUGUUUGCAUCUUCCCGAUGACGCAAGAACGUUGCCAGCAAACAGGGGCAGGCGGGAUGCUGGUGGAUGCAGGAAGCUAGGUCGAGCCCCCUGCACCUUCUGAGUCUCUAACAGGAACUCCCGAGAUCCCUCCCGAGAUGGCUGCCUGCCGACCUUCUUGCCUCGAGUCUAUCGGAAGGAGCGGAGGAGCUCUAGCCGAUGAAUACAAGCAGGACUCAAACCUAAUCCAGGGAAGCCACAAGGUCUCUUUCCUCUGCCUGCUGCCUUCUGCCAGCAAGUAAGAAAUUUCCCUUCCCAGGAGGAAAGGCAAGUUGAUGAUAUCAGAUUUUGACCACGUCAACCCUUGUAAUGAUAGCAAAUUGAAGGACUUUGCUCCAGGCUACCUCAGGGAUCACUGACCAGGCCACUAAUGGAAUCCCUUAGCCAGAUUUCCUUCUGGGUUCCAUCAGAAGCCUCCCCUUAUCAGUGACUCUGGAAGUGCUACUUCCUUGAGCAGGGAAUUACAGGCCAGUAGUUUAAGCCAGAAGGGGCUGACACUGUGAAUGGUGCAUUUAGCACACUGACAUAGAGAUAAAGAAGAAAUAUGGGGACCUAUUCUGUAGAUCAAGAUCUGUGAAGCACAAAGAAGAAAUCCGGAGCCUCUGCUUCUUAUGGAGUUUACUUGGGUUUCUUUGCAAGAAUGAAGAAAUACAUGUCUUUUUACAACUUUA